GAGCGAGAGGUAUGCGUAAUAGGUCUCUGUCAAUUCCGCCGAUGAUGAUCCAUCCAAGUAGAACCCUAUCGAGGCCAUGAUGAUGAUGAUCCGUAAGGCCUAACUCAAUAUCGAUUUUCCACCGGAUUCUGAGUCUAGCGACGGAGAAGCCAAGCCAGUGAAGAGAGCCAUGUAUGUGUCUCAGCCAUGAAGUUGGUUACGUACAUCGUUCGUUUUGAGGAAACCAGAGCCGUG